GAUGAACGCUGGCGGCGUGCCUAUACCUGCAAGUCGAGCGAACGGACGAGAAGCUUGCUUCUCUGAUGUUAGCGGCGGACGGGUGAGUAACACGUGGAUAACCUACCUAUAAGACUGGGAUAACUUCGGGAAACCGGAGCUAAUACCGGAUAAUAUUUUGAACCGCAUGGUUCAAAAGUGAAAGACGGUCUUGCUGUCACUUAUAGAUGGAUCCGCGCUGCAUUAGCUAGUUGGUAAGGUAACGGCUUACCAAGGCAACGAUGCAUAGCCGACCUGAGAGGGUGAUCGGCCACACUGGAACUGAGACACGGUCCAGACUCCUACGGGAGGCAGCAGUAGGGAAUCUUCCGCAAUGGGCGAAAGCCUGACGGAGCAACGCCGCGUGAGUGAUGAAGGUCUUCGGAUCGUAAAACUCUGUUAUUAGGGAAGAACAUAUGUGUAAGUAACUGUGCACAUCUUGACGGUACCUAAUCAGAAAGCCACGGCUAACUACGUG
rnacentral:rRNA from 1 species